GCUAAACAGUGAGAUAGUUUCCUAAGAGGAAACUAUGAACCAAUUAGGAGAAGAGAAGUGGCAGAAUUCACACCUCAUAUAUAUACAUGCCCUAUCACUCAGGUCAUGAUCUCGUGGUUGAUGAGUUUGAGCCCCGCAGUGGGCUCUGUGCUGACAGCAUGGAGAGACACCUUAGGAUUCUCCGUCUCCCUCUCUCUCUGGCUCUUCCUCACUUGAGCAGGUAUGUACACACACACACACACACUCUCUCUCUCUCUCUC